GGAGACGUGCGAGAGUGGUUGAAUCGGACAGUUUCGAAAACUGUUAUGGCCGAAAGGUCAUCGAAGGUUCGAAUCCUUCCGUCUCCG
rnacentral:tRNA from 1 species